rnacentral:tRNA from 1 species
GCCAUGAAAGCUCAGAUGGCAGAGCGCCGACUUGGUAGGUCGGAGGUUGCCGGUUCGACUCCGGCUCGUGGCU